AAACACUGGUAGAAAUCCUUCGCCUUCGCAUCAAAAACUGUAAACCUAGCCACGCGAAUGAAGUAACCAUGCUGAGUUUCAUCACCCCCCCCCAAACUAAGGAGGGUUGAGAAACCAUGCUGAGUUUGCGGAUUAAGUGCUAAAUGCGAUUGAUCGAUAGAGGCUUCGUAAGGAGAUCACCAGGUUGCUUAGAGAAGCCAUGGCUCUAUGUUCCGUUUCUACUGAUGACCGUGAAACAAUCUUAUGUUUCUUGGAUUUCCAGGAGACCAAGGCUUCACCUAUGGUGAUGCAAUACCCUGUGACUGACCUACGACUAUCCAGGUAGGUAGCCCAGUCUGAAUCACAGUAACCUCUGACCUAUAGAUUGUUAGUGAUAGAAUAAAACAUGAUAUGCCCUAGAGUACCUUUUAUGUAUCUUAGUAUAUGAUGAGCAGCAUCCAUAUGUGUUUCAGUAUGAUGAUGCAUAAAUUGACUUAAAGUAUUGAUAGCAAAUGUUAUAUUAGGUCUUCUUAUGGUUAAAUACAUUAGACUACCUACUAAACUUCUGUAUCUUAGAGGAUCUUCAAGAGCAGUGCCUUGAUUAGUAGAUAAUUUAGCAUUAGUAUCAAUAGGGGAAUUAAUAGGUUUAGAAUCAGUGAAACCAGUGUCCUGGAGUAAAUCAACAACAUAUUUUUAUUGUCCAACUGUGAGGUCAUUGUUCUGGUAAUGCAGUUCUAUUCCUGAAAAAUAUUUUAGUGAACCUAAACAACUGCCUUACUUUGGAUAAAACCAAAGUCUAAUAAGCUUUCUUACAUUUGAUAAAACCAAAGUCUAAUAAGCUUUCUUACAUUUGACAUUCCAUUAUCUUGAAGCCUAUUUCAGUCCAUAUAUGGACCUUUUAUGUUUGCAAACUUCCCUGUUUUCUUGUUUGGGAAAUUCUGGAGGAAGUCUCAUAUAUAUGUCUUCCUCCAACUCACCAUUCAAAAAAGCAUUGUGCACAUCUAGGUGAUAUAUAGGCCAUUUGUUGAAUGUAGCUAAUGCCAAAAAAUUCUAACAGUGGUAAUUUUCACCACUGGAGCAAAUGUUUCAUUAUAGUCAAAGCCCUCACUUUGACUGUAAUCUUGAGCUACCAAUUUUGCUUUAUAUAUUUUUAUUGCACAAUUAGAUUGAUAUUUGAUUUUAUAUAUCCAUUUGCAUCCUAUGGGUUUUCUAUUAAGAGGUAAGGUCACUAACUCCCAUGUGUUGUUAUCUUUAAGAGCUUUUAAUUCUGCAUCCAUAGCUUGAACCCAAUUACUGUUCUGUAUGGCAUCUUUGUAUUUAGUGGGUUCCUUUUGUUUCAUUAUGGCAUAGAUGUAAUGUCGAUGGGAACCAGUGGGUAACUGUUUAGCUAUGGGAGGAACAUCAGCAGAAGCUAAGUUGCAAUCAUAAUUAUCAAGGUUUACCUACAACGUUGUAGGUAAAUCAUGGCUUGAUGUAGAAGGUAAAUCCUUGUUUAUGUGAUGUGGAGAAGUGUCUGACAUUUUAUAUGUUGGAUUUGAAAGGAAAUUCUGAUUCCUUGAAGUGCACAUCUCUAGAAAUGAAAACUUCUUGAGUUUCAAUAUUUAGGAGUCUGUAUCCUUUAGUACCUUAGGCAGAAAUUUAGAACUAGGAUGUCUAUUGGCUAUGCAAAGGCAACCAAAGGUUCUAAGGUUACUGUAAUCAAUUUCUUUGUUAUAGAGUAUCUGAAGAGGGGACAUUUUGUCUAAGACUGUAGUUGGGAGUCUAUUAAUCAGAUAUACUGUUGUUUGAAUGCAAUAAGACCAUAAUUCUUCUCCUAAACCAGCUUGAAUUUUAAGUGUUCUAGCUACAUUCAGUA